CCAGAGUAUGCAGUAUGAAUAUAAAAUAGUGUGCCCAGUUUUCUUGUGUGGUUUGUGGAAACUGGUCACAUUGCUUUAUAGCCACACCACAUAUAUUU
rnacentral:pre_miRNA from 12 species